AUGGGAUCCAUGGGAUGGGAUGGGACGGGAAGGGAUUCAUGGGAUGGGGAGGGGAGGGGGUGGGAUCCAUGUGAUCCACAGGAUGGGAAUGGGAUUGAUGGGAUGGGAUGGGGAUGGAAUCCACGGGAUGGGAAUGGGAUGGGGAUGGGGAUGGGAUCCAUGGGAUGGGGUGGAGUCCAUGUGAUCCACGGGAUGGGAACGGGAUCAGUGGGAUGGGGUGGGAUCCAUGGGAUGGGAUCUAUGGGAUGGAGUGGGAUGGGGUGGGGAUGGGAUGGGGUGGGAUCCAUGGGAUCCACGGAAUGGGAGUGGGAUCAGUGGGAUGGGAAUGGGAUCCAUGGGAUGGGGAGGGGGUGGGAUCCAUGUGAUCCACAGGAUGGGAAUGGGAUCGAUGGGAUGGGAUGGAAUCCAUGGGAUGGGGAUGGGGAUGGAGAUGGGGUGGGAUGGGGAUGGGAUCCAUGGGAAUGGAAUGGGAAUGGAAUGGGAAUGUGGUGGGAUGGGAUCCAUGGGAUCAGAAUGGGAUGGGGAUGGGAUCCACGGGAUGGGAGUGGGGUGAUAUGGGGAUGGGGUUGGGGUGUCCCUGUCCCAAUUCCAACUUGUCCCCAUUCCAGGUGGAUUUUGUUGCUUCCAGACUUUGCCGAGCACUCCAGGGGUAUCCACACCCCCCACAUUCCCUGCGGGGGAAUUCCAUGGAUCCCAGAAAGGCUGGAAAGGGCUGGCAGGGAUGAAACCCCGAGCUCACACAGCUCCCAGCCCAGGAACAGUGAUCCCACCAGCACAAAACCGACGGGGAAAUUAAAAAUAGCACCUCCGUCAGCGGCAGGGAGGGCUCGGCCUCCCAACCCUCCCCACCUAAAUCCGUAUUUUUAUCCGGCCUGGGAGCGACCCAAAUUUCAGCCGCAGCCCCAAAUGCCAGCCACGGGUCAGGGCACGCCGGGCUGGCCUGGGAACGGGCUGGGAGCCCGGAAUGCAGCUCCGGGCUGGAGCUGGGAAGGCAGAGGGAGGAAAAGGCUGGAGGAGCCUCCGGAGCCGGGGAUUCCUCCCGGUGAGUCCGCAGGUGAGCGGCGCCCGGCCCUGCCCCGGCAGCAGAGAUAA
rnacentral:lncRNA from 1 species